rnacentral:rRNA from 1 species
CCUACGUGAGGCAGCAGUGAGGAAUAUUGGUCAAUGGACGAGAGUCUGAACCAGCCAAGUAGCGUGAAGGAUGACUGCCCUAUGGGUUGUACACUUCUUUUAUAAAGGAAUGAAACGAGGCCCUUGUGCCUUUUUGCAUUUACUUUAUGAAUAAGGAUCGGCUACAUCCGUGCCAGCAGCCGCGUUAAUACGGAAGGUCCGGGCGUUAUCCGGAUUUAUUUGGUUUAAAGGUCGCGUAGGCAGGGUUUUAAGUCAGCUGGGAAAGUCCGGGGCUCACCCGUGGAAUUGCAGUUGAAACUGGAGGCCUUGAGUGCACACAGGGAUGCCGGAAUUCAUGGUGUAGCGGUGAAAUGCUUAGAGAUCAUGAAGAACUCCGAUCGCGAAGGCAAGUGUCCGGGGUGCAACUGACGCUGAGGCUCGAAAGUGCGGGUAUCAAACAGGAUUAGAUACCCCAGUAGUC